rnacentral:lncRNA from 10 species
AGAGGUUUAAUUGGCAUAUGGUUCCACAGGCUGUACAGAAAGCAUGAUGGCUUCUGGGGAGGUCUCAGGAAACUUACAAUCAUGGUAGAAGGCAAAAGAGAAGCAGGCAUCUCUUCCAUGACCACAGCAGGAGGAACAGACAGAGGAGGGGGGGGGGGCUACACACUUUUAAACAACCAGAUAUCAUGAGAAGUCAUUCACUAUCACAAGAACAGCAAGGAGGAAAUCUGUCCCCAAGAUCCAAUCAUUUCCCACCAGGCCCCUCCUCCAACAUUGGGGAUUACAAUUCGACAUGAGAUUUGGGUGGGGACACAAACCCAAACCAUAUUAGGGGAGCACCUUUCUCAAAGGGAAAUUCAUCCCCCUGCUUUUAGGCAGAUAAGGGGAAGGCAGAGAACUGUUUCUACAUCUGUUGGUUCUCAAUUUCCUGCAGGUCAAAAUAAUCCUUCUGCCAAAGUGUCACAUUUUGGGGUGUCAUAUUCUGAUCUUCUUCAAGGGUCAAAGCAAGAAAGGAAUGAAAGGGUGGUAACAUGUGGUAACAGACAGGACUUGUCAGUGCUUCCUGGGAAUCACAGUGGGGGCAGAUAAGUGGAGACUAUAGGGAAGAAAAACCUGUAAACAUUUUCUACAUCUAGGAGACCAAAUUGACAGGACUGGGUGAAAUUCUGAUGUGGCUAAGCAGAGAAAGAGGGCCAAGCUCUCUGGUUUGAGUUAUUUGCAGUUUCCUCAAUGGAGGUGGAGCAAUACUGGGAUCUAUAGCCCAAAGUUCCAGAAGAAAGUGUGCUGGGUGUAAAGAGGGACUACGCGUAGCUCAGCAAUAGCCAUUUUCAGUGCCACGACAUCCAUGAAUGUCCAUGGUCAUAAAUGAAUACUUACUAUGCGCCAGACACUAUUCUAAUCACUUUAUAUGCAAUGACUAAAUUAAAACUCACUGCAAGAUUGCAGGCAAAGGGAAAUAAUAUCACUGUUAUUCCAUUUUAUAGUUGGAAAGACUGACAAAUACGGCUGGUAAGUACAGAGCUGGGCUUAAAAAUCUAAAUAGUCUGACUGCAAAGUUCACACUCUUAACCACCAUGCUAUAGUAUAAGAAUGUCAAGGUUAUUGUGAAACCACCGCACCCAUCCAUGACUUGUUACCCUGUCCAAGGUCAGCACUGACCAGAGAGUCAAUUACUUAUGCAACAAGACUACAGAUGAUUUUUCAAAAUUAACUUUUUUAUUAAUUUAAAAAUCC